ACCAGAUUGAGGCAGCACUAAGUCGAAUGCCUUCUACUGGAGGACGAAUCACUUUGCAGACGAGAUUAAACCAGGAAGCCUUGGAAGAUCGUUUGGAAAGGAUUAAUCGAGAACUGGGCUCAGUUCGAAUGACAUUAAAGAAAUUUCAUGUUUUGCGCACCUCUGCAAAUCUCUGAGAUUUGUAGCCAUUAAAUUUUGAGACGUUUUUGUUUGCACUAACGUAUAAUUAUGCACUCAGAAAAGGCAAACUGUUUUGUACUGUUUAUAAGCCUUCAAAUAGUAGUUUUACAAUCAUGCUAUUCUUUACACUUACUGUUUUAUACUUCAAAUGGCCACAUAUUUUCAAGAUAUUUUUGUUAUGCUCAGGAAUCUCUUGUAUAUUUUACUAUUUAAAAAGUAUUAUUUUUAAAUAGUGUAAGUCUCCAGUUUAUAUCAAUAGUAAGGAAAUGUAAACAGGGGAGGCAGCUUGUUUCUAAACAAAUAGUGUUAUCCUUUUACAGUUAACUUUGCACACUAAUUUUAUACUUGUUCUACAUUGUGAAUAUGAUUCUUUUUUUAAAUAAAUGCUUAAGAAUAGCUUCUAUAAUAAUAGACUAAUACAUGCUGAAUGCAAAAAAAAAAAAAGAAAAAUGCAGCAUACCCUGGAAUUUAGUUGUGUUGGGAUUUUUUUUUUUAAUGGUAAUGCAGUUCCUGUUAGGAACAUGUCUUAGAGUGAAUAUUAGAAUAGUAAUAAUGGAAAUAAUGGAAUAUUGGAAAGCUUUGGAAACUAUGAAUAACUCCUUUUGUUUCCCUUGAACUUUAUUGUCUGUAAGGAAGGAAAAAUGAGAGUUGUAAUUCUCUAAUGUCAUAUAUGUAGUACUUUUCAGAAAACGGUAAGCAGUUGGGGAGCUGUAGCUUUGCGCCCAGCAUUCUGAGUGGAACUGUGUCCCUGCUGUGGCCAUAAGUUGGUGGAUGAAGCUUUGAUGGAAGACAGACCACCACCCAGUGAGGUGGUUUCCUCCGGAUGCCUCUCAGAUAGGAGGAAUCAAGCCAUAAAUUUGCAUUUGCUGGACAUGAUAUACCAUGUCAUCGCUGUGACUACAGACUUCAAAGUUAAUUGUCUUAUUCACCAUUGCACUGUAACAGUGACCAAAUACAAUGUGAAACACUUGCUUCCUGCAGUGCUGCUGAUGGUUAGGCAAAGACAAGUGCUUGCUGCAGUUGUUUUUAAAUCUAGGCAAGUAUAGGAGUCAUGGAAUUGUACGCUCUGUCAGAGCAGGGACCAUCAUGUCUUCAUUCUUGCAUACAGGCACUCUAAUAAAUAUUUGUGGAUAUGAACUGC
rnacentral:lncRNA from 1 species